rnacentral:lncRNA from 1 species
ACCCAAUCGAUUCAACAUGUUUAGUCCUUCCACCUUUGUGAUCCCACACUCCUAAUCAUAUUAGCUAAAAUGCUGCACACUCAAUCUUUGGAAGAUAUAUAAAAAAACAUAAAUAUAGAUAGAUUAUCUUUCCAUUAGGUUGAGCGAUCUGAUCUAACAAAUGUUUUAAAUACUACACUCAUGAUCUUAUUAUCCAUCAAAUUUGUCUUGCUCACUAUGCUUAAGGAUAGAGAAGAAUAAAUAUACUUUUGGUUCUGUUGGUACCCAUGCACUUGAUCUCUGCCUUGUCUCUAUGAGCUGGACACAUUUUUAGAAACAUGGAGGAUUUUUCAACUCCCAGACUCUACCAAGUGAAGGACCUGGAUCUACGAGCACAAACACACUAAGCAAGAUACUGCCAACGCCGCACUUCGAACUACUAGGCAAACAAAGAACAUGGGUGACAUAGUAUCAAGAGGUGCAGACGUCAAGGUCCACACUUGGAUCAAAUGACACACCUGGAUCAAAUGACGCACCUAAAGAAUGAACACGGUGAGAAGUCUUGUUCAGAAGACUUUAAACAUUGAACCCUCGCCGAAAGAUAAAAUUGGUAAUUAUCCAUAUUUAUUCUUUCUACAUUCCCUUUUCCCUUUAAUUAUUUACUUUCCUUAAAUGGCUUGUUAGUUAAUCAUGCUAUCUUGAAAAGAAAACAAAAAUUUUAAAAACAAUAAGCCCCAUGUGAGUAUGCUCGUGGCAUAAAACCCAUAAGUACAUGCACUGUGGUGGCGUAAAAAAUAAAAUAAAGAUAUUCCUAUCCUAUAGAAAUGAAAAUAUAAAAAUAAAUUUAUGAUCCUACCAAAGAGAGUAAUAUUUAUUAGAGGAAGCUCAACAUGAUUAGGGCAAAGAUAUUUUUAUACUAACACUUAACCAGUUCCACAAAGCUUUGUUGUCUAUUUGAGCUCCACCGAAUUUAAGGAUCAAAGAAGACUAGCAGACGGAGGACAUCCUAAUCGCUACCAGGGUACUGCCGACAUUCAAAUACACCUCCGCCACCUACUAGCUACAUCAGAAGAAAUUACGUCAAAAUCCAGCUUGGGGGAGAGCACCCCCAUUUAUCCAGCUAAGUGUUUCUACUCGCGUUUAAACUUUACUCAAAUAAUAAAAAGAUGCAUAAUCAUAAAAACCCAAAUAAAUAUUUUAUGCUUAUAUAUAUAUCUUUGCUUAGUUUGCUAAAUAAAUAAAUAAAUAAAGUUUGCUAUAAACCCUCAC